UACGAGAUAGGCUCCGGUCUCGUGGGCUCGGAGAUGUGUAUAAGAGACAGCCCCGAAAUAGCUUUAGGGCUAGCGUCGAGGCAGAGUCGCAUGGAGGUAGAGCACUGAAUGUACGAUGGCCCCAUCCCGGGGUACUGAGUAUAAUCAAACUCCGAAUGCCAUGAAGACGUACUCGGCAGUCAGACUGUGGGUGAUAAGGUCCAUGGUCAAAAGGGAAACAGCCCAGACCGCCAGUUAAGGUCCCAAAAUGUAUGCUAAGUGGAAAAGGAUGUGGGGAUGCACAGACAACUAGGAGGUUGGCUCAGAAGCAGCCAUCCUUGAAAGAGUGCGUAACAGCUCACUAGUCGAGUGACCCUGCGCCGAAAAUGUACCGGGGCUAAGCAUACUACCGAAGCUGCGGAUUCAACUUUAGAGUUGAGUGGUAGGGGAGCGUUGCAUGCACGUAGAAGCCGUACCGUAAGGAGCGGUGGAGAGCAUGGAAGAGAGAAUGCCGGUGUGAGUAGCGAGAUGUAGGUGAGAAUCCUACACACCGAUAGCCCAAGGAUUCCAGGGGAAGGUUCGUCCGCCCUGGGUAAGUCGGGACCUAACGCGAGGCCGAAAGGCGUAGUGGAUGGAAAACAGGCAGAUAUUCCUGUACCCGCGAUGGAAAUGAAGGAAUGACGGAGAAGGCUAGUGUGAGCCACUGAAUGGAUUGUGGUCGAAGCAUAUAGCAGGCUGACAGUGAAAUGCGUCAGCAGGAUGUAAGAUGUGACAGGUAAGGGAACGUCCUCGGACAAGUACUGAAGCACAUGAUGCCAGCUUCCAAGAAAAGUUUCUAGUGAUAAUUCCAUAGCGGCCCGUACCAAAACCGACACAGGUGGGCAAGGAGAGAAUCCUGAGGUGAGCGAGAGAACUGUUGCCAAGGAACUCGGCAAAAUGACUCCGUAAGUUAGCGAUAAGGAGUGCUCUUGUAAAAGAGAGCCGCAGUGAAGAGGCCCAAGCGACUGUUUAACUAAAACACAGCUCUCUGCAAAGUCGCAAGACGAAGUAUAGGGGGUGACGCCUGCCCGGUGCUGGAAGGUUAAGAGGAUUUGUCAUCCGCAAGGAGAAGCAAUGAAUUGAAGCCCCAGUGAACGGCGGCCGUAACUAUAACGGUCCUAAGGUAGCGAAAUUCCUUGUCAGGUAAGUUCUGACCCGCACGAAAGGCGUAACGAUUUGGGCGCUGUCUCAGCUGUAGACUCGGUGAAGUCUUAGUACCUGUGAAGAUGCAGGUUACCCGCGACUAGACGGAAAGACCCCAUGGAGCUUUACUGUAGCUUGAUAUUGGACUUUGAUGCAAGAUGUACAGGAUAGGUAGGAGACUGAGAGACAUGCACGCCAGUGUGUGAGGAGUCAAUGUUGGGAUACUACUCUUCUUGUAUUGGAGUUCUAACCGGAUGCCAUGGAACUGGCAACGGGACAGUGUCAGGUGGGCAGUUUGACUGGGGCGGUCGCCUCCCAAAGAGUAACGGAGGCGCCCAAAGAUACCCUCAGCUUGGAUGGAAAUCAAGCGCAGAGUGCAAAGGCAUAAGGGUGUUUGACUGCGAGACCUACAAGUCGAGCAGGGACGAAAGUCGGGCUUAGUGAUCCGGCGGUGCUGAAUGGAAAGGCCGUCGCUCAACGGAUAAAAGCUACCCUGGGGAUAACAGGCUGAUCUCCCCCAAGAGUUCACAUCGACGGGGAGGUUUGGCACCUCGAUGUCGGCUCAUCGCAUCCUGGAGCUGAAUUCGGUUCCAAGGGUUGGGCUGUUCGCCCAUUAAAGCGGUACGCGAGCUGGGUUCAGAACGU
rnacentral:rRNA from 1 species